GUGCUCACUUUGGCAGCACAUAUACUAAAAUUGGAAUGAUGCAGACAAGACUAGGUAGCCCUCUUAGAAAGGUUGACAUGCAAAUUCUUGAAGCGUUCCAUAGGUUU